rnacentral:rRNA from 1 species
AACGAACGCUGGCGGCAGGCCUAACACAUGCAAGUCGAGCGAGGACUUCGGUCCUAGCGGCGGACGGGUGAGUAACGCGUGGGAACGUGCCCUUUGCUUCGGAAUAGCCCUGGGAAACUGGGAGUAAUACCGGAUGAGCCCUUUGGGGGAAAGAUUCAUCGGCGAAGGAUCGGCCCGCGUUGGAUUAGGUAGUUGGUGGGGUAAUGGCCUACCAAGCCGACGAUCCAUAGCUGGUUUGAGAGGAUGAUCAGCCACACUGGGACUGAGACACGGCCCAGACUCCUACGGGAGGCAGCAGUGGGGAAUCUUAGACAAUGGGGGAAACCCUGAUCUAGCCAUGCCGCGUGAGCGAUGAAGGCCUUAGGGUUGUAAAGCUCUUUCAGCUGGGAAGAUAAUGACGGUACCAGCAGAAGAAGCCCCGGCUAACUCCGUG